rnacentral:rRNA from 1 species
GAUGAACGCUGGCGGCGUGCCUAAUACUUGCAAGUCGAGCGAACUGAUUAGAAGCUUGCUUCUAUGACGUUAGCGGCGGACGGGUGAGUAACACGUGGGCAACCUGCCUGUAAGACUGGGAUAACUUCGGGAAACCGAAGCUAAUACCGGAUAGGAUCUUCUCCUUCAUGGGAGAUGAUUGAAAGAUGGUUUCGGCUAUCACUUACAGAUGGGCCCGCGGUGCAUUAGCUAGUUGGUGAGGUAACGGCUCACCAAGGCAACGAUGCAUAGCCGACCUGAGAGGGUGAUCGGCCACACUGGGACUGAGACACGGCCCAGACUCCUACGGGAGGCAGCAGUAGGGAAUCUUCCGCAAUGGACGAAAGUCUGACGGAGCAACGCCGCGUGAGUGAUGAAGGCUUUCGGGUCGUAAAACUCUGUUGUUAGGGAAGAACAAGUACAAGAGUAACUGCUUGUACCUUGACGGUACCUAACCAGAAAGCCACGGCUAACUACGUGCCAGCCGCCGCGGUAAUAC